rnacentral:rRNA from 1 species
CAGUAGCCACGGUAACACGAAGGGAGCUAGCGUUGCUCGGAAUGACUGGGCGUAAAGGGCGCGUAGGCGGUUUGUACAGUCAGAUGUGAAAUCCCUGGGCUUAACCUGGGGGCUGCAUUUGAUACGUGCAGGCUUGAGUGUGGAAGAGGGUCGUGGAAUUCCCAGUGUAGAGGUGAAAUUCGUAGAUAUUGGGAAGAACACCGGUGGCGAAGGCGGCGACCUGGUCCAUAACUGACGCUGAGGCGCGAAAGCGUGGGGAGCAAACAGGAUUAGAUACCCCCGUAGUCCCUGUCUCUUAUAC